GAUGAACGCUGGCGGCGUGCCUAAUACAUGCAAGUCGAGCGAACAGACGAGGAGCUUGCUCCUCUGACGUUAGCGGCGGACGGGUGAGUAACACGUGGAUAACCUACCUAUAAGACUGGGAUCACUUCGGGAAACCGGAGCUAAUACCGGAUAAUAUAUUGAACCGCAUGGUUCAAUAGUGAAAGACGGUUUUGCUGUCACUUAUAGAUGGAUCCGCGCCGCAUUAGCUAGUUGGUAAGGUAACGGCUUACCAAGGCAACGAUGCGUAGCCGACCUGAGAGGGUGAUCGGCCACACUGGAACUGAGACACGGUCCAGACUCCUACGGGAGGCAGCAGUAGGGAAUCUUCCGCAAUGGGCGAAAGCUUGACGGAGCAACGCCGCGUGAGUGAUGAAGGUCUUCGGAUCGUAAAACUCUGUUAUUAGGGAAGAACAAAUGUGUAAGUAACUAUGCACGUCUUGACGGUACCUAAUCAGAAAGCCACGGCUAACUACGUG
rnacentral:rRNA from 1 species